GAUGAACGCUGGCGGCGUGCUUAACACAUGCAAGUCGAACGAAGCACUUUAUUACGAUUUCUUCGGAAUGACGAUUUAGUGACUGAGUGGCGGACGGGUGAGUAACGCGUGGGUAACCUGCCUUAUACAGGGGGAUAACAGUUAGAAAUGACUGCUAAUACCGCAUAAGCGCACGGUAUCGCAUGAUACAGUGUGAAAAACUCCGGUGGUAUAAGAUGGACCCGCGUCUGAUUAGCUAGUUGGUGAGGUAACGGCCCACCAAGGCGACGAUCAGUAGCCGGCCUGAGAGGGUGAACGGCCACAUUGGGACUGAGACACGGCCCAAAACUCCUACGGGAGGCAGCAGUGGGGAAUAUUGCACAAUGGGGGAAACCCUGAUGCAGCGACGCCGCGUGAGUGAUGGAGUAUUUCGGUAUGUAAAACUCUAUCAGCAGGGAAGAUAAUGACGGUACCUGACUAAGAAGCACCGGCUAAAUACGUGCCAGCAGCC
rnacentral:rRNA from 1 species